rnacentral:rRNA from 1 species
ACGGAAGGCAGCAGUGGGGAAUAUUGGGCAAUGGGGGCAACCCUGACCCAGCAACGCCGCGUGAAGGAAGAAGGCUUUCGGGUUGUAAACUUCUUUUACCAGGGACGAAGAAAGUGACGGUACCUGGAGAAAAAGCUACGGCUAACUACGUGCCAGCAGCCGCGGUAAUACGUAGGUAGCAAGCGUUGUCCGGAUUUACUGGGUGUAAAGGGCGUGUAGGCGGAGAUGCAAGUCAGGAGUGAAAUCUAUGGGCUUAACCCAUAAACUGCUUUUGAAACUGUAUCCCUUGAGUAUCGGAGAGGCAGGCGGAAUUCCGAGUGUAGCGGUGAAAUGCGUAGAUAUUCGGAGGAACACCAGUGGCGAAGGCGGCCUGCUGGGCUCUAACUGACGCUGAGGCUCGAAAGUGUGGGGAGCAAACAGGAUUAGAUAUCCUGGUA